rnacentral:lncRNA from 1 species
CAACGUGAGGCAAUUAGGAGAAAACGAAAAAAAAAAGGACAAAAAGCCAAAGGGAGUUGGGGAAAGGGGUACGCAGCAUAUCUGCUUCAAUUGAAACAGAAGCUGAAGAAAAGAGUUUGAGACAAAAAAAAUCCUUUAGCCAACAAUAUAUCAACCAGGAAAAAAUAAAGAAAGGAAAAGUUACUGGUGUUCUUAGCGCCAGAGUACCGUGCUUCACUAAAAUAUUGGCAUAUGUUUUCUAUAUUCAACAAUAGAUUCCAGGUAAUUACAUGGAAUUCUUCUUCUUUUUAAAUAGUAUUAUUUUAUAUACAUGAUUCUUAUAGGACUGAGUAGAUAUGAUUUUGAAAUUUGAUUAAGAGUUUAAAAGAUAAAGUUUAGAAAAUACGGAAAAAAUUCAUGAGACUUUUCCAUGAAUUAACUGGGUAUAUUAUAUGAAAUAGGUUGUGUUUGAUGGAUUUUGGAUUGGUUUAGAUUACCAGUAGCGCGAGUCAGUAUAAUUUGACGAGUUGGAAAACAAAAAUUAGCCGUAAAAUCUCAAAAAUUGGGUAUUCUAAAUAAGCUAUGAAUUAGCCUAAACAAGGAAAUUAAUACGAGAUCGAUGUUGAUAUGGUUAUAGACUGAUUGAAGAAAGUCGUACGGAUCGUUCGAGGUGACGAGUUGGUAUUUCAUACGAGUACUGUGAGUAGUAAUCUUACCGCAAUUUGUGUUUUCAUUACUUGCAUGAUUUUUAAUAUGAAUAUAUUACCGAUUAUUUUGAGUUGCAUGUGGGACAAGUCUUUUACUCGAUAUGAUACCGAAAUAGUUAUUUGAGAUGAUUAUCGUUAUUUUAAAUAUUCUUGUUAUCACUAGAUAUGUUUUACCAUUUCUUGAAUUUACUGUUAUCGAAAUGAAAUUACAUAAUUUGAUAAGAACUGAAAUGUCCUAUAUUUUUUCAAAAUAUUUUCCUAUGAUUAUAUAGGAUUACAGAGACAAGUAUAAAUGGAAGUAGACUUUGAAGGCUCCCGUAGCUAAUGGCGAGUUCGUUAGACCUGGUGCACCUUGUAAUUAUCGAUUAUCGUUACAACCCUUGCUAGUGGGAAGGUAGAACUAGCAUACCCUUGCUAGUGGGAAGGUAGAACUAGCAUAUUGUUACUGAUUUCCCUCGAGUAGGGACUACCGUUAUAUUUGACUUCUUGCGAAGAAGUCCACAGUUAUACCGAUUACAUGAUCUGUUCUUUGAAACCUCCCAAAUAUGAAUAUUGAUAUUAUACAGUGGUUACCGAGCUUAUUAUUUAAUUGUCAAUUGUAUUAUACUACAAGAAAAACAUGAUGAGACUGAAAAUUGUUUAUUAUUUUUUAAAGGCAUUUUUAUGAUAUUUUCUUUUUAAUAUACUAGCAUGUUUUCUGACUUGUCCCCAAUAAAAACGAGUGUGGUUAAGUGUUAUUAAUUACUGAGCUAGCGACUCACUCCCUGCUAUUUUUUUACAGAGACAGCAGUUGACGCAGGUGAAGGUUUUGUUAAUUAGAGCGCGUAGGUUGAUACUUCUUGGUGAGCCCUGCACUCAAUCGCGUGGGCGAAGAGUUUUAUUUAUUUGCUAUAGUCUUUUCUUUUGAACUCUUAGAUUCGCUCCAUAGUCAUUCUUUUAGUGACAUGAGUAUUCUUUCGUUAUUAUAGAUUUAAGAUGAGUAUUGCAUUUUCUUAUCGAAUUGGAGAUAAAUUAGUAUUGCUGGUUGUUAGUGUGUUAAUUAUUAAUGGUGGAGACUUGUUUUGAUUAAUUGAUAAAUUGUUGGUUGGUUGGUUUGAUAUUAGGAUGGUUGGUUGUUGAUUUUGAGACAGGAAAUUAUUUUUGGAUAGUCCUAAAAUAGGGAAAACUUUGUCCGAUUUUCUGUAAAAUACUGAUGAGGCUUACUUGGGGACACUUGUUCCGGAGUGCCAGUCAUGAUCCAAAUUGGGUCGUGAUAGUUAAUUGACCAUUUUAUUGCAUAAAUUGCUGAGCACGAAUUCUAUGUUCUACUUGGGAUGCUUAAACUCUGGGCGUAGUGCACCAAUAGCCACUUUUAAGCCUGUUA